CACUUUUUUUUCUUCCAGAAAAGAAACCCAAACACAGUAGCCUACAUCUCAACAAGGGUAUCCUUCUUCAAUUGUUUUCCUCGAAAACCCUCUGAGCUGCUGGCAUUUUGUUCUUCUUUGGAAUUAGAUCUGAAGCAAGCUCCUACCAUUUAUCAACCUGUGGCCAAAGGUAAAAGGGCUUUACUUCUGGAAGCCCCUUCCUGGUGGUAAGACUGAAACAAAGACCCAGAGAACCUGCAUCUGAAUUCUAGAUUUCCAGGGAAGCCCACUUGCCAGAGAGUACUUUGAAAGUGCUAAGUUUAUUUAUGCUC
rnacentral:lncRNA from 1 species